rnacentral:rRNA from 1 species
CCCUUAGAUGCUCUGGGCCGCACGCGUGCUACACUGAGUGGAUCAGCGGGUCAGGUUGCGCGAAAGUGUUUCCUAAUCUUGAAAUCCGCUCGUGAUGGGGAUUGACGGUUGCAAUUUUCUGUCAUGAACGAGGAAUACCUUGUAAGCGCGGGUCAUCAUCCCGCGCUGAAUACGUCCCUGCCCUUUGUACACACCGCCCGUCGCUCCUACCGAUUGAGUGGUCCGGUGAGGCUUUGGGAUCUGGAUGGAAAGAGCGUUUCGCUGUUUCUGCCCGGAAAACUCAGUCGAACCUUAUCAUUUAGAGGAAGGAGAAGUCGUAACA